rnacentral:rRNA from 1 species
CAUCCGUGCUGCCGUAGACCCGACGGCGGAGGCCCUAUAAGAACCGUAAAGAACCAGGUAGGGAACGGGUUUAGUUUGCGUUGCGCUUGGUUUACGUGCGUGAGGGGGGGAGUGAGGGCAGGUGGAGGUGGCCUAGUCCCUCCGUCAACGGUGUGGUGUGGUGGGCGGAGAGGGGGGAAGGCGGGUGGCCGUUCCGGUAAGGGCGCGCGGCGGCCAGUGGGUCUCGUAGUUAAAUAGAAGUUCGAACGUCUGAGCUUCCUUGUGAACAGCACGUAACACGUAUAGUAAAGAGACUCUUUUCAUCGGUAUCAUGAAUUUCGUUGUAAAGAACCUACCCAAGUCUGUUCGUCUCACCAUCGGGUGAUAACCCUUGGGAGUUCUACCUCUCCCAAGCCUGCUAGGACUGUGUAUGCGGUAUAGGAGUACUUGUGAGCUCCGUAUAGUACUGCCGUCACUAUUAACCCACGGAGAAAAAGUAGAGCAGGCUGUUAUACGUAUGAGACUAUGUAUUUGACCUGUCGUUAUAGUUUACCACCAGGUACAUACAAACGAACUAACCAAAGAAGAUGAAGAAAAGUAGAGGGAAGGAACCUUCUUGUUAAGUCGGCUCAAUGAGUUUAAAGUUGGCUACCAUACAGCGAACCUAAACGAAACGUAGGGACAUAGUAGAGGGAUCGAAGGUUAGUUACCCGCAACUAUACGCGUACUUGGAAAGUGAAAAAAACUGAUAUAUAAAGAGAAGACAGGAGAAGUAGUGGCGGAAAGUGUAGUAUAAAUAACCAGAGACCAUGUAACCUGACCAACGAGCGUACCGUCCGUGUUCUGGUCCUUAUACCUGGUAUCAUGUUUUGACAUGACAGUAGUCAUAACGCACGACACAUAAGAUGUCAGUAACGCCCUUAGAACGACACGGGUUUUCGCUUAGAAAACUGUUCUCAAGACUAGGUUCAAACGAACGAAAAGAAUUUUUGCUUUUACCUUGGUGUACCUAUAGUUUAAAAGAGAAAUACUUACUUGAUUUUCUAGUCUAUACAAGUAGAACCAAACGUGGACAACCUAGGCGUUCACUGAUAGGAGAAGACAGUUUCACCCAAUAUAUACCCCUCAAUCAAACGUCACCUAGGACACGACCGGGUAGUCUACUUUAUAGAGGAGACAUGAGUGACACCCGAUGUAAGCAACCGGAAAUAUAACGGUUGAAACAACACCUCUCUAGUUGACCUACCCGAGAAUGAGUGAACAGUGGUCAUAGUCUUCUUCUCUUCGAGUCUUUUGUAUACUUUGGUCUAAAGAACCUAUACCAUGGAACCAUGAGUCCCUGUAGCCGACUAAAUAAGUUCUGCCGCAAACUAGAAUACCAGAGACAUUGAGAAAAACAACCCGCUAAACUGUACGCGUACUACGUCCGACGUUACUUUUCAUGAUGUCUACUUUGAGCCUUACUGCUACACGAGAUACUGAUAAAAUUACUUUCUCUUCUGGAAACCAAACUGAAACAGCGUCUGUGACCACUACCACCUUUAAGUAGUAUAUGUCAACGGGCCGACGACCGAGUCGGUAGGUAAGUCUGACAUUAACCACCAAGAUACGUAUGAGAAGGUGCACCUUUAAACGAACAAUAACCGCCUCUAGAACGCAUAGGUUUGGGAAGCAGGAAAUGUAUACUCUCUGCGAAGAAACCAGGAAAACUCAUACGAUACGUUGGAGGCGCAACCAUAUUCCGACUUGUAUAUCGACACCUAUUCGGACUCCAAGGAGGCCCUCAUAGUUUCUACUUUUUUAUACUACCUGGGGUUACAAAGUAUUAAGGGCCCUUGGUGCUAACCAAGCUACCCGAAUUGUGGAAGUACUCUAUAUAUACAGUGUUUUCGACCAAUCCACCUACCAAAGACGGAGUCUCCUUCUCAAUGAAACGUAACGUCGAAGGCUUUCCAACCACCUAUAAACCAGAACUAGAUCGAGAAGUACCACUGUAACUACAUAUGGUUAAGUUCAAGAAACGUCUUGAAACAGCCUUAUUCCAACCUCUCUUGCUGAGACACUAGUAACAAUGUGUGCUCGGUUUGACCGAGGAGCUAACCAUAACCUUCCUCUGAUGUCCGUUCUUACAGAGUGUAAACUAAGUCCUGAUGGACUUACCUUCCACGUUUGAAGCAUACCGACCCCUAAACGUAGUAAAAUACUCCGUAAGACGUUGUGGUAGUCUAUUUGGUUGAAAACAACUUGUGAAUGAACAGUUACCUACACCACCACGGAAAGACGUGGGUUGUGUACAAAAGUUUUUGAAACUUUCCAAGAGACCAUGAUGGAUGCUCACGUUCCGACGAAUAGGGAGAAUACUCCUUAGAUCACCCUAACGUGACCCGUUAUAUAAUUUUAAGGCGUUCUUCUUAACCGUCAAGCUGUAUUAACCACCAAAAUAAAUGAAGUAUGACCAUAAGAGGUACAAGGGUGUCACAUUAGAACAAGUGUAGAAUUUACUCCUUUGUACCAGACCCGCAGACGUUUCGAAGAGUUCAUGUUAUACCUCACGAAACGAAAAAUAAAAACUUGUGAGAAUACAGAGGAGUCAUCCUUCAGAUUGAAACAACUACCGUAGUAUAAGUAAACAUGGUAGGUUUGAGUGUUCCUUUUUUUCUCGAUAAUAGCCAUCGGACGUACAAAACCGGGUAGACUGACGUCGAGAUCAAAAUUACAACGAGUACCUCAACCCGUAACUUUAUACGUAUGCCUUAGUAAAUGACCGUUGCAGUCCAAUAGUGGGAGAUAUACUAACCAUAGCCAGUUACCUUUCACUCGUAAAAGGUCUAGGUUGACCAGAAGCAUGAGCUAACCUUGUUACCUGCGAACCUGAUAUAGGUCGUACAUAUUUUAUGGAAUACAGUCGGAAACUGCAGGGUCUCCAGUACCGACAAUGUUCCUAGUUGUAAACGUUCUUGCCGUACUACAGCGAAAGAGCCUCACAAGACUAGUACAUGAUAUGAAGACAUAAAUAGAUAAAGACCUAAAAGAGUUGAGGUCAACAAAGGGAGUAUAAACCAUCAAUGGAUAUGUAUACGUAGUUGACCAAGGUGUAUGUGAAACUACUUCGGAAGAGCAGAAACGCGUAGCGUUUGAUGUUUAGAAAGUGUUCCAAGGUAUAAUUCUUCCUACCACUAGAUCUUUAUAAAUGUGAACGUCAACUGUUCCAGGGUUUCCUAACCUUUAACCUAGGGUUCACCCUCCGUCUCCUUUCUCCCGGAGUAGUCGAGUCGGUGGUGGCCUCUAUGGGAUCGUUUACCUCCAGUCGGAGUAGAGGUCUGGGGCAGUCCAGCCACGCCCAGCAACUGGUAAAGUGGUAGUGUUCUUGUCAUCGUGGUCUAGGGCUCUGGAGGACGACUAAGGGAUGUAGUAACGACCACUUCAUGAACGAGCUCUGUAAUCGCUAACGAACGCGUCUGACAGUCAAAAAGUAGGGUAUAGGUCGAACUGAACCCGACUGGAUAGUAUAGACGAGGCCACAACGGAAGUCGAGAGAUACGCUUGAAGUAGAGGUCGUAACGUGUCGUAUAUCGUCUCUAAAUGAACACGUGAUCAAUUGACCAUUGUUUCUUCUUACCUACCUCCUUUGUAUCUUUUUCAAGCUAAGUAGUCUAUCUAACAUAAGACUCACCUACUAGAAAUAUCAAAUAUGGCUUUCUAUCACCUUGUGCCGGUAAAAAACAGUAUACCUUUGUGUAUAGGACCUACAUCUAAAGUGACUUUGUGCCUCACAUUUAAAGUGAUAAAAGACAUCUUCCUUGGCUCAAUUAAUAAAGACCUUAAGCGAAGCAAUGAGACCACGGUAACUAAGAAUCAUGUAUGUAGACGUUACAAUAUUUAAAGUCUCAAACGUUUAUACACCGAAGAGUAACGGACCUCUUAUAUUAGGAGUAAGUCGUUUCGUAGAAUUGUAAGUCGAUAUUUUGCUACCUGUGUUACCGCGGUGUUUCGUCGUUGCUAAGUAACGAACCCACAGUGACGUCGCGUGACUACUAAGGAUGUGGAAAUUUUUUCUUUAAUAAGCUGCUUUUAAGGUUUCAAACGUUUAGCCAUCGAAGAGGUUAAGACUUCAGACCUCUACUAUUAGUACACAUCGUAGAACGAAACGAGUGCCUUCCUCAUUCGUAGAGUUGUGAGUCGAUAUAUUUCCGAGCUAGACGCACGAUUACCGCAUUCGAGGGAUAAGCUCCGGUUCCAUCUAUGUCACUCUCUCUAUUAGUACCGCGUCGUUUCGCCGUUACUAGACUUCCGACAUUACCUCUUCGACGAGGUCCGCAAGCUCCUGCUUCACCUGUCACUCGACGGAGUGUCCCGCCUCGACCUGGUGUAGAAGGCGUAGGAGUUCCGUUUGUUCCUCUUCUAGUAGAGCCUCGGUGGCCUCCACCCCUUCUUCCUCUUCGACGGGCUCGACGACGCGUCAUAGCCGCUACGGGACGUCGUUACGUUCCGUGCCAGGUUCGUCGUCGUCAGACUCAGACUGUUCCGGUUCUCGUUCUUCUACUGCUACGGCAGCCACUCGCUGACGUUGGGAAAGUUCAGAGCUGGGAGCGUCGACAGGCAGCUGGGGAACGACCUCGUCUGGUAGCGGUAAGAGCCGCUACAAGGAGGAGGAAGAGGAAGGGGACUAGUCCUACGUCCUCUCCUCCGGCACUGCCUCAUGAUGGUCACCUGUUGCUCGAUGCACCUACUCUCGGCCUAUAUGCCGACCCUGUUCCUUCGGUUGCUACACCAGCUGCGGGAGCAGCCGUUCCUCCCCCUCCUCCUCCUAGUCCACGACAAGUCCUGCCGCCCGUAGCGGCCCUAGGUGCCGUCGCCGUUCUGCCGCGACCGCGUCUUCCACAAGCAGGUGCUGUCCUAGUUCCUGCGGAAGGGAGAGGCCGAGACCCAAACGCACCCGGGCGGCCUGGUGCUCCUGUCCAAGUUGGAGGAGAUGGCCUACGAGCUGUUGGAGCCGGAGCUGUGGCGGUUCCACCUCCUGUAGCAGCUGUUCCGGCUGCACCAGCAGUUCCGUCGGUGGCUGCUCCUGUUCUAGUUCAGGUCCUAGCCGCACGACGAGAAGUAGGAGAUGCACUGCGACAUGUUCUGCCCCAUGGAAUAGCACAAGCUGCUGUACUCCCGCAUGUCGCUGACCAUGUCGUUGGACUGCGACGUCGGUGGGUUCCUGCCGCUCACCAUGCUCGCCGAGCGGAUGCCGGACGGGUUCCGUCCUUCUCGCGGCACGAGCAGUGGUCGGCGUCGCUCCUGCCGCGGUCCCACUACCACGCGUGGCCGCCGCACAAAGUGGGAGGGUUCGAGCUCCCGCUUCUUCCCACCUUCGAGAAGGUGGCCCUCAUGUUCCUCCGGUUUCUGUUCCUGUCCUUCCUGUUCCCGCUGUUUCUGUUCCCGCUGUUCCUCCUCCUUCUGUUCGAAAUGUUCCUUGAGCUUCUCUACUUCUUCCUCUAGUAGCCUUUCACGGAGCCGGAAGGCCACCGGUAGCAGGUCCGCCGGUUCCCGAAGCGGCGCGAGCUCGUGCUCGGCCUUCGACUGCGGUUCCUAUUGCGACGGCGCCUAGUCUGACGCUGCUCGUUCUGGCUUGGACCUGGACGUUGACUCCGCUGCCUCCGGUUAGUCAGACGAUUAACUCGAUGACUGAGUGACACGCGCACGAAUACACGAGACGAUUUACAAACAAAGCAUGACAGCUCACACGGAAAAAAAAGAAAAGAACAGAGGAACUAAAUGGAAAAAAAAUAAUGCUCUUGGUUAACUGGUACCUCAAAGCCCCGCACACAUUACAAACAAGCUGGCUGGAACACCUCUGAAGAAGUUUAAACUUGAAAAAA